rnacentral:rRNA from 1 species
GGGCCCGCACAAGCGGUGGAGUAUGUGGUUUAAUUCGAUGCAACGCGAAGAACCUUACCAACACUUGACAUGUUCGUCGCGACUUUUAAGAGAUUAAAGUUUUCGGUUCGGCCGGACGAAACACAGGUGCUGCAUGGCUGUCGUCAGCUCGUGUCGUGAGAUGUUGGGUUAAGUCCCGCAACGAGCGCAACCCUCACUUUUAGUUGCCAUCAUUAAGUUGGGCACUCUGAAAGAACUGCCAGUGAUAAGCUGGAGGAAGGUGGGGAUGACGUCAAGUCCUCAUGGCCCUUACGUGUUGGGCUACACACGUGCUACAAUGGUAUCUACAACAGGAAGCAAAACGGCAACGUUAAGCAAAUCCUUAAAAGAUACCUCAGUUCGGAUUGCACCCUGCAACUCGAGUGCAUGAAGCUGGAAUUACUAGUAAUCGU